GAUGAACGCUGGCGGCGUGUCUAAUACAUGCAAGUCGAGCGAACGGACGAGAAGCUUGCUUUUCUGAUGUUAGCGGCGGACGGGUGAGUAACACGUGGAUAACCUACCUAUAAGACUGGGAUAACUUCGGGAAACCGGAGCUAAUACCGGAUAAUAUUUUGAACCGCAUGGUUCAAAAGUGAAAGACGGUCUUGCUGUCACUUAUAGAUGGAUCCGCGCUGCAUUAGCUAGUUGGUAAGGUAACGGCUUACCAAGGCAACGAUGCAUAGCCGACCUGGGAGGGUGAUCGGCCACACUGGAACUGAGACACGGUCCAGACUCCUACGGGAGGCAGCAGUAGGGAAUCUUCCGCAAUGGGCGAAAGCCUGACGGAGCAACGCCGCGUGAGUGAUGAAGGUCUUCGGAUCGUAAAACUCUGUUAUUAGGGAAGAACAUAUGUGUAAGUAACUGUGCACAUCUUGACGGUACCUAAUCAGAAAGCCACGGCUAACUACGUG
rnacentral:rRNA from 1 species